rnacentral:snRNA from 1 species
UUUCUCUCUGCUCCUGCCCCACUCACGCUCUCUCUCAAACAUAAACAUUAAAAAAAAAAAAAAAAGUGGAAUGGUACAACGACUAGUAUAGCCCCUGUGCAAGGAUGACACACAAAUUGUGAAGCGUUAUGUUUUUAU